rnacentral:snRNA from 1 species
AUACUCACCUAGUUAGGGAAACACCAGGAUCAUGAAGGUGGUUUUCCCAGGGUGAGGCUCAUCCAUUGCACGCUGGGUGUGCUGGCCUCUGCAGGAAACCUGACUGCAUAACUGGGGUAGUGAGGCUACUGCGCUUGCAUGUCCCCUGU